AGCAGGAAAACCAAAUAUCUCUGACAGUUGACAAGCAGGGAUACCUUCUACGUCAACACCAUGACCAGCUGGCACAACUGGGGAGUCGUUGCCUUCAACUACCUGAUGAUACAUCCAGCCGACCCAGUGAGCCAGCACAACAGCCCAUUCAGCAACCCGCUCAGGUCACUGAGGCACUCUUCCAGCAGGUCUUCCAGCAUUAUGGCCUUCCAGAGAACAUUGUCUCCUCAUCUCACAUCAAGGGUAUGGAAAGCCUUUAUGGAGAAGCUCGGGGUCACAGUCAGCCUCACUUCCGGGUACCAGCCUCAGUCCAUCGGGCAGGUGGAGAGGAUGAACCAGGAGCUGGGGAGGUUCCUGAGGAGUCACUGUCAGGACUGGCAGGGAGAGUGGGCUGGUGGUUCCUGAUCCCCUAGCCGAUGCUGUCCCCCACAACACACACCCCCCUGGACAUCGAGGGGAAUCCGGUAUAUGCCGUCUGAUCCCUACUGGACCCCCGACGUCGUGGGGGUCGACUCCAGUACCUGGUUGACUGAGAGGGGUAUGGCCCAGAAGAGCGGUGUUGGGUUCCGGUGGAGGACCUUUGCCGCCCGAACUGGCUUCUCGGGGUCGUCCCUCUGGUUGGUGUUGUCCUGUGGCUUUCGACGUCGCCAGUAUACUAACGGCGGCAGGAUAGGCAGGGUAGCCUAGUGGUUAGAGUGGUUGGAGCGUUGGACUAGUAACCGGAAGGUUGCAAGUUCAAACCCCCGAGCUGACAAGGUACAAAUCUGUCGUUCUGCCCCUGAACAGGCAGUUAACCCACUGUUCCUAGGCCAUCUUUGAAAAUAAGUAUUUGUUCUUAACUGACAUGCCUGGUUAAAUAAAGGUAAAAUAAAUAAAAAACCACCGGUCCUGGGAUCCAUCAUUACGCACACCUGGCAUCCAUCAUUACGCGCACCUGCAGAUCAUCAUGAUACUCACCUGGACUCCAUUACCUUCCUGGUUACCUCCCCUAUAUCUGUCACUACCUUGGGUCCUUCCUCAGUCAUUAUUGUUUCUGUGUUCAUGCGGAAAUGCCACUGUUAUGUUGUCUCAUUUCAUGUUUGUUGUUUUAAUAAACGUUUCACCUGCACCUGC
ensembl:lncRNA